rnacentral:tRNA from 1 species
UGUAGCGCAGCGGAUAGCGUGCUGGAUUUCUAAUCCACUAAUCCAGAGGCCGCAGGUUCGUAUCUUGCCA